rnacentral:pre_miRNA from 1 species
GUUUAACGCCGUUGACUUUUUAGCACAUGUUUGACUGUUCGUCUUAUUUAAAAAAUUUAAGUAAUUAUUAAUUUUUUUCCUAUCAUUUGAUUCAUUUUUAAAUAUAUUUUUAUGUAGGCAUAUAAUUUUACAUAUUUCAUAAAAUUUUUUAAAUAAGACGAACGGUCAAACAUGUGCUAAAAAGUCAACGGUCUCUAACA